GCACUGGGGAACCGGCUGGGGCCAUUAUUCUCAUCCCGUAUGUGAGUAUGACCAAGACUUCGGGGACGGGCGCACGACCCUUUUUGUCAUUAAUCAGCACCAUUACUAUGCUUCUCGGUUCAAUUAAAGCUAGCAGUUCGUGUCAUGUGCUACUAGACAUACAAGACAAGGCCGCCAUCUUCUGUUUUCCUUGCCUGUGUGCGACGACGGCUUUGCAUGGCUUUUUCUUGUUUGAUAGUAUUUGUUUUUUGGGACUGCUAGCGCCCGGACGUCGGGCACCAGUACCGUGUCCGGACGCCGAGCCUCCAGCCCGCGCCAUACAAAGCGUCAACAACACGUCCGCACGUCGAGCCUCCACCCGCACCACACUGAGAAAAGAAAAAAAAGAAAAGAAAAAGGAAACCCGUCCGUCCGCAACCAUCUCGCGCCCUGCUCUACUUGCCCCGCACGGAGGACUGCUCUUGGUCCGCUCCCCAAGCAAGGAGCCCGUCCCCACCACCGCGAGCACCGGAUCCACCUCGCCUCUCGUCUCACCGGUCCCUAGCACAUCUGUCCGUCGUCAACUCGUCCCGACAGCCUACCCCAUAGACUUAACGUUGCAACACAAUGCGCGUGAUAGUACAACAACAUAGAUAUACUGCUACAACAAUAGGUUGAAGUAGCUGAAACACCAUAAAACAUAGUAUUACAACAAACACCGAACACCUACUACAACAACAUGUAAACAACUACUACAACAUACAGAUUGAAGCAUUGGAUGGAGCAGCUGAAACACCAUAAAACCUAGUAUUACAACAACAACGAACGACUGCUGCAACAACAUGUAAUAGCUAAUACAAUAGCUAGAUUGAAGCAUUGGGUGGAGAAGCCGAAACACCAUGGAUAUAGUAGUACAACAAACACCGAACAACUGUUGCAACAACUAAUAUAACAGUGAAGAUUGAAGCAUUAGAUGGAGCAACUAAAACACCAUGGUCAUAGUACUACAACAAUACCGAACAACUGCCGCAACAACAUGAAAGAAACUACUAGAACAUGCAGAUUGAAGCAAGUGAAACAACAUCUUGAAACACAGUAUUGCAACAAACGAUUGAAACCUACUACAACGUCUAGAGAGAACCAUUGCAAUGAUGACGAGACCUGAACCUGAGAGCUCGCCAAAACCCUACCCUACUGCAACAUCACUUAAAAACGUACUGCAAAAACCAGAGGACAUCAUUACAACAUGCGCGGGCGCUGAAACCCAAAAGCUCGUCGAAACCUUAACCACCACCACAUCCCGUAGAUCCAGACCCAAAGGAGAAGUAGGAGGAGGAGGAGGAGCAGAGUUGAAGAACGUGGAGGAGGAGGGAGGAGGCUCAGAUCCAGAUCCACAGAAGAAGAGGAGGGCUCAGAUCUAGAUCCAUAGGAGGAGGGAGAGGGAAGAGAGUCCUCAGAUCCAAAUCUUCCCCACCUACCUCGUCGGAGGCGCGCCGUCAUCCAUGGAGGUCGCAGAGCGAGGAAGAGAGUACGAAGAUAGAGAGACGUGCCGCUCGCUGCAAGCCACCGUCGUCGUCUCCACUCCGGUGGCAUAGAGACAUAGAGGUUGUAGCGGGGUGAGGGAGGGAGGAAGGGAGAAAGAGGGAUGGCUCGCCAGCGGCGCAGUAGAGUGCUGGCGUGGACGGUAAGAGAGGCGGAGCAGCGAGAGAAGAUGAAAAGUAGUGAAUAAAACGAGUGGACAGCAGCG
rnacentral:lncRNA from 1 species